rnacentral:rRNA from 1 species
UUUAUUGGAGAGUUUGAUCCUGGCUCAGGAUGAACGCUGGCGGCGUGCCUAAUACAUGCAAGUCGAGCGAAUGGAUUGAGAGCUUGCUCUCAAGAAGUUAGCGGCGGACGGGUGAGUAACACGUGGGUAACCUGCCCAUAAGACUGGGAUAACUCCGGGAAACCGGGGCUAAUACCGGAUAAUAUUUUGAACUGCAUGGUUCGAAAUUGAAAGGCGGCUUCGGCUGUCACUUAUGGAUGGACCCGCGUCGCAUUAGCUAGUUGGUGAGGUAACGGCUCACCAAGGCAACGAUGCGUAGCCGACCUGAGAGGGU